rnacentral:rRNA from 1 species
GACGAACGCUGGCGGCGUGCUUAACACAUGCAAGUCGAACGGAAAGGCCCUGCUUUUGUGGGGUGCUCGAGUGGCGAACGGGUGAGUAACACGUGAGUAACCUGCCCUUGACUUUGGGAUAACUUCAGGAAACUGGGGCUAAUACCGGAUAGGAGCUCCCGCUGCAUGGUGGGGGUUGGAAAGUUUCGGCGGUUGGGGAUGGACUCGCGGCUUAUCAGCUUGUUGGUGGGGUAGUGGCUUACCAAGGCUUUGACGGGUAGCCGGCCUGAGAGGGUGACCGGCCACAUUGGGACUGAGAUACGGCCCAGACUCCUACGGGAGGCAGCAGUGGGGAAUAUUGAACAAUGGGCGGAAGCCUGAUGCAGCAACGCCGCGUGCGGGAUGACGGCCUUCGGGUUGUAAACCGCUUUCGCCUGUGACGAAGCGUGAGUGACGGUAAUGUGUAAAGAAGCACCGGCUAACUACGUG